CGAAUGCCUGGAAGAUCCAAAA
rnacentral:misc_RNA from 1 species